ensembl:lncRNA
ACCCCGAGGACACUUGACGACAUCCUCCUGCUGAAAAUACGUGGGAGGGCGAGAAGAGCGGUCAUCUAAUGCAGAUCCGCCAUCACACGUCCUUCGGCUCAGGCAUCCUGCCGCUUCAACUCAAAGCUGCUGCUAGAGGGCCAGCGAGCAGGAGAGAUGGAGGAGAGAUGAAGAUGGUCCAUCUGUGAGCUCAGGGUGGAGGACCCGAUGGAGGACCCGAUGGAGGCGAACGACGCGGCUGCCGAGGCGGCCCGAUGGCCGAAGCCUGAUGGGAUGCCGACCAAAUGCAAGUCAAAAGGCCCACCGGUCCGCGGUAAACACGCCCACGGAUCACACUGGUCGUAAACAUCUCUCUGCACGGCUUCAAGAAUGAUCCACAAUCUCAGUGGCAACUAGUGUCUGUCGCACCAUGUAAAACAUGCGAGGUCACAUGAUGUCUGGACAAGGACUGAGGGCACACAAAGUCAACGGACCCUGACCGAAACGAGUGGGAAGUUGCAGCAGAACGGGGAA